GAGUUUGAUCCUGGCUCAGGACGAACGCUGGCGGCGUGCUUAACACAUGCAAGUCGAACGAUGAUGCCCAGCUUGCUGGGUUGAUUAGUGGCGAACGGGUGAGUAACACGUGAGUAACCUGCCCCUGACUUUGGGAUAACUCCGGGAAACCGGGGCUAAUACCGGAUAUGAGCCGUCCUCGCAUGGGGGUGGUUGGAAAGUUUUUCGGUCAGGGAUGGGCUCGCGGCCUAUCAGCUUGUUGGUGGGGUGAUGGCCUACCAAGGCGACGACGGGUAGCCGGCCUGAGAGGGCGACCGGCCACACUGGGACUGAGACACGGCCCAGACUCCUACGGGAGGCAGCAGUGGGGAAUAUUGCACAAUGGGCGAAAGCCUGAUGCAGCGACGCCGCGUGAGGGAUGAAGGCCUUCGGGUUGUAAACCUCUUUCAGCAGGGAAGAAGCGCAAGUGACGGUACCUGCAGAAGAAGCGCCGGCUAACUACGUGCCAGCAGCCGCGGUAAUACGUAGGGCGCAAGCGUUGUCCGGAAUUAUUGGGCGUAAAGAGCUCGUAGGCGGUUUGUCGCGUCUGGUGUGAAAACUCGAGGCUCAACCUCGAGCUUGCAUCGGGUACGGGCAGACUAGAGUGCGGUAGGGGAGACUGGAAUUCCUGGUGUAGCGGUGGAAUGCGCAGAUAUCAGGAGGAACACCGAUGGCGAAGGCAGGUCUCUGGGCCGCAACUGACGCUGAGGAGCGAAAGCAUGGGGAGCGAACAGGAUUAGAUACCCUGGUAGUCCAUGCCGUAAAC
rnacentral:rRNA from 1 species